CCCUUGGGGAAUUUUCCGCAAUGGGCGAAAGCCUGACGGAGCAAGACCGCGUGGGGGAGGAAGGUUUUUGGAUCGUAAACCCCUUUUGUCAAGGAAGAAGCUCUGACGGUACUUGACGAAUAAGCCUCGGCUAACUCCGUGCCAGCAGCCGCGGUAAUACGGAGGAGGCAAGCGUUAUCCGGAAUGAUUGGGCGUAAAGCGUCUGUAGGUGGCCAGCUAAGUCUGCUGUUAAAGAUCACAGCUCAACUGUGGGAAGGCAGUGGAAACUGGCAAGCUAGAGGUUGGUAGGGGUAAAGGGAAUUCCCGGUGUAGCGGUGAAAUGCGUAGAUAUCGGGAAGAACACCGGUGGCGAAAGCGCUUUACUGGGCCAGACCUGACACUGAAGGACGAAAGCUAGGGGAGCGAAAGGGAUUAGAUACCCCUGUAGUC
rnacentral:rRNA from 1 species